rnacentral:tRNA from 2 species
GAGGAUGUGGCUCAAUGGUAGAGCACUUGCCUAGCAUGUGCGAGGCCCUGGGUUCCAUCCCCAGUACCCCA